UCACCCCUCAAGCCCCGUGCUUGGUGUUGGACGGUCGGUCGCGCCCCGGCGCGACCCCUCCCAAAGACAAUGACGGCGGCCUGUGGUCCCCCCGGUACACUGAGUGUUUUCGUCUUUGCGGCACACGUAUCGGACGCGGGGGCUCGGGUCCCGGUCUCUCCCUACACAUUUUUAUCAAGGUUGACCUCGGAUCAGGUAGGAAUACGCGCUGAACUUAAGCAUAUCAAUAAGCGCAGGAAAAGAAACCAACAGGGAUUGCCUCAGUAACGGCGAGUGAAGCGGCAACAGCUCAAAUUUAAAAUCUGGCCUCUUGGGGUCCGAGUUGUAAUUUGUAGAGGAUGUUUUGGGUACCGCCCCGGUUUAAAUUUCUUGGAACAGAAUGUCAAAGAGGGUGAGAAUCCCGUCUUGGACCGGCGGUAGGGCCUGUGUAAAACUCCUUCGACGAGUCGAGUUGUUUGGGAAUGCAGCUCAAAAUGGGUGGUAAAUUUCAUCUAAAGCUAAAUAUUGGCCAGAGACCGAUAGCGCACAAGUAGAGUGAUCGAAAGAUGAAAAGCACUUUGAAAAGAGAGUUAAACAGUAUGUGAAAUUGUUGAAAGGGAAGCGCUUGCAACCAGACUUGAGCGCGACGGUUCCCCUAGCCUUUUGGCUAGGUUACUCCGUCGUGUCCAGGCCAACAUCGGUUCUGAGGGUCGGUCAAAGGCCCCGGGAAUGUACCUACCCACGGGUAGACUUAUAGACCGGGGUGUCAUGCGGCCUCUCGGGACCGAGGAACGCGCUUCGGCUCGGAUGUUGGCGUAAUGGUUGUCAGCGACCCGUCUUGAAACACGGACCAAGGAGUCUAACAUCUAUGCGAGUGUUUGGGUGUCAAACCCGGAACGCGGAAUGAAAGUGAACGGAGGUAGGAAGCUUCGGCUGCACUAUCGACCGAUCCUGAAGUUUACGGAUGGAUUUGAGUAAGAGCAUAGCUGUUGGGACCCGAAAGAUGGUGAACUAUGCCUGAAUAGGGUGAAGCCAGAGGAAACUCUGGUGGAGGCUCGCAGCGGUUCUGACGUGCAAAUCGAUCGUCAAAUUUGGGUAUAGGGGCGAAAGACUAAUCGAACCAUCUGGUAGCUGGUUCCUGC
rnacentral:misc_RNA from 1 species